AAUAUGGUGUAAAGGUAGCACGAGGAGUUUUGAUCUCUUUGGUUUAGGUUCAAUUCCUAUAGUUCUAG
rnacentral:tRNA from 1 species